GGGUUUUGGUGGAGCGCGGGACCUGAUCCUGGGAGGCAAGCGUAUUAACAGGUGUGACGCAGGAAGGUAGCCGAGCCGGGCGAUGGUUGUCCCGGUCUAAGGAUGUAGGGCGAACGGUAGGCAAAUCCGCCGUUCAUGAUGCCUGAGAUCUGACGGGACCCCCGUAUGGGGGGAUUCGGUGAUCCUAUGCUGCCGAGAAAAGCAUCGACGCGAGGUUUUAGCCGCCCGUACCCCAAACCGACACAGGUGAUCAGGUAGAGAAUACUAAGGCGAUCGAGAGAAUUAUGGUUAAGGAACUCGGCAAAAUGCCCCCGUAACUUCGGGAGAAGGGGGGCCCCAACCUUGAACACCACUUGCUGGUGGGAGGGGAUCGGGGCCGCAGAGACCAGGGGGAAGCGACUGUUUACUAAAAACACAGGUCCGUGCGAAGUCGCAAGACGAUGUAUACGGACUGACUCCUGCCCGGUGCUGGAAGGUUAAGAGGACCGGUUAGCCGCAAGGCGAAGCUGAGAAUUUAAGCCCCAGUAAACGGCGGUGGUAACUAUAACCAUCCUAAGGUAGCGAAAUUCCUUGUCGGGUAAGUUCCGACCUGCACGAAUGGAGUAACGACUUCCCCGCUGUCUCAACCAUAAACUCGGCGAAAUUGCAGUACGAGUAAAGAUGCUCGUUACGCGCAGCAGGACGGAAAGACCCCGAGACCUUUACUAUAGUUUGGUAUUGGUGUUCGGAGUGGCUUGUGUAGGAUAGGUGGGAGACGUUGAAGCCCGGACGCCAGUUCGGGUGGAGUCAUCGUUGAAAUACCACUCUGGUCACUUUGGACAUCUAACUUCGGCCCGUAAUCCGGGUCAGGGACAGUGCCUGAUGGGUAGUUUAACUGGGGCGGUUGCCUCCUAAAAAGUAACGGAGGCGCCCAAAGGUUCCCUCAGCCUGGUUGGCAAUCAGGUGUCGAGUGUAAGUGCACAAGGGAGCUUGACUGUGAGAGAGACAUCUCGAGCAGGGACGAAAGUCGGGACUAGUGAUCCGGCGGUACAUUGUGGAAUGGCCGUCGCUCAACGGAUAAAAGGUACCUCGGGGAUAACAGGCUGAUCUUGCCCAAGAGUCCAUAUCGACGGCAUGGUUUGGCACCUCGAUGUCGGCUCGUCGCAUCCUGGGGCUGGAGUAGGUCCCAAGGG
rnacentral:rRNA from 1 species